ensembl:lncRNA
AGACAACUUCCCUCCGAAGGGUAGACGGGCCUGCUGGGAUACUGAGGGAGGACUGGGUCAGGCGCUGGGCGGGGUUUUCGCAGCUCCGCGGAACGCCGGGAAAGGGUCACGUCCAGAUGAGGGAUCCGGUUCCGGUGCAGACGGCGGCCUCGGCGUUGCCGCGGCAGUGCGGUUGGCCGGUACCUGGGUGGUGAGCUCGCGUUGUUGGAGGGGCUGGAGUUGUUCUCGGUCCUGUGUUGUCCGCUUAGUUCACGAGACGCUCUCGUCUGUGUGGUCGGGGCUUCGCUGACUUUCCCAGCCUACUUAAGCCCCUGGGCCUGGGCCCCAGGAAAGGUGUGUUGUAUGGGAAACUUAAGAAAGGAAUUGGUUCGUUCGAGAAACGUUUUCCGAGCAGCUGCUGCGUGCAAGGCACUGCGCCGGGGCGAGAAGUCCAGUGAGACCUGUGCCCAAAGGUUGACAAAUGAGAGGCGGGCACAAAGCAAUGUGGGAUACAGGGGAGGGAAAGGAAGCCUCCCGAGGCCCACCGCUUUCUCCAUUCUUCAUUGUGCAUGUCGCACCUUGUCGUGCAUCAUUAGCUUGCUUGUUGCCUUCCCUCCCAGACUUCGACUUCAUUCACCGCUGCAGCUUCAGUAUUGAAAACGGGUGCUCACGUUGGUGACAAGAGUGACCGCCGAAGAGCGGGGCUCCGUGAAAUCGCCGCGUGAUCUGUAGUCUCGGCGUCGCACUGGGUUGAUGGUACCCUGGAGCAUCCCAGACUUGCAGAGAAAGCAUCCUCCAGAGGAAGCUGAGGCAUGACUGCUCGAGGGCCGGCAGUGCCAUGUGCAAUUUUCCUCUGAUAGUUCCCAGUGCUGUUGCCACGGCGAUGGUGGCUGUGCCAUGCCAUUGUCUAUCAACCGACAGGAAGAGAAAACUGGCAGUCAGAUAUUGUUUAACAGACGAAGUGGUUUCUGUUGGACACUUAAGUACUGCUAACAAAUUACCUUUCUUUUCCUUUCUUUUUUUUUUUUAGAAAAAAACCCUAAAUGUUUUAAAAGGGUGGCUGGAGGUGACCUCGUUCUGCAUUCAAGGUUAAAAAUCUGAAAAUUAGAAUAUGUGCUCUCAGCAAGAGUAUCUUCUAAAUAAUCAUUCAGCAUGAAACUUGAGCCCCAUAAGCUGAAAAUUACACUCAAGACUUUCCUGAGAAAUGCUCCCCAGUGACAUAUUUAUUUAACCCCCCUUCGAUGUCAUUGAUUCCAGGUAAAUCAGAGGAACAGACAUCAUGAACAGAAAUAAUACAGGAAGUGAUGUGAUGCCGAAGUUUAACUGUUGUUCCAGAAGUCCAGCAUCUGUGGCUCAUAACUUUAGGAACUGUAUCAUUUGCAAGGUCACCUAACUUUUACUCAUAUUGGGUUGGCCAGAAAGUUCACUCAGUUUUCCUGUAAGCUGAGAGAACCCGCACGGACUUUUUGGCCAACCCAAUACAGUAAGUUUUGUUUGUUUGUUUUUGUUUUUUUUUAAAUAAAUAUUGACAGUUUGUUCCAGAAAACCUAAAUUGUAAAUUGCCUACUCUAAGCUGCCUGAUUCUCUGCUUGUGUUCACUGGAAUAGGGAGAAGAAUUUGCAAACUGAUUAUGUGAGGGUCCGAAAUGUAAAACCGAGCCGUG